UACGUAGGGGGCAAGCGUUGUCCGGAAUCAUUGGGCGUAAAGCGCGCGUAGGCGGCCAGAUAAGUCCGGUGUGAAAGUCACAGGCUCAACCUGUGAAUGCCGCUGGAAACUGUCUGGCUUGAGUCCGGAAGGGGCGAGUGGAAUUCCUGGUGUAGCGGUGAAAUGCGCAGAUAUCAGGAGGAACACCGAUGGCGAAGGCAGGUCUCUGGGCCAUAACUGACGCUGAGAAGCGAAAGCAUGGGGAGCGAACAGG
rnacentral:rRNA from 1 species